GACGAACGCUGGCGGCGUGCUUAACACAUGCAAGUCGAACGGAAAGGCCCUGCUUUUGUGGGGUGCUCGAGUGGCGAACGGGUGAGUAACACGUGAGUAACCUGCCCUUGACUUUGGGAUAACUUCAGGAAACUGGGGCUAAUACCGGAUAGGGGCUCCUGCUGCAUGGUGGGGGUUGGAAAGUUUCGGCGGUUGGGGAUGGACUCGCGGCUUAUCAGCUUGUUGGUGGGGUAGUGGCUUACCAAGGCUUUGACGGGUAGCCGGCCUGAGAGGGUGACCGGCCACAUUGGGACUGAGAUACGGCCCAGACUCCUACGGGAGGCAGCAGUGGGGAAUAUUGCACAAUGGGCGGAAGCCUGAUGCAGCAACGCCGCGUGCGGGAUGACGGCCUUCGGGUUGUAAACCGCUUUCGCCUGUGACGAAGCGUGAGUGACGGUAAUGGGUAAAGAAGCACCGGCUAACUACGUGCCAGCAGCCGCGGUGAUACGUAGGGUGCGAGCGUUGUCCGGAUUUAUUGGGCGUAAAGGGCUCGUAGGUGGUUGAUCGCGUCGGAAGUGUAAUCUUGGGGCUUAACCCUGAGCGUGCUUUCGAUACGGGUUGACUUGAGGAAGGUAGGGGAGAAUGGAAUUCCUGGUGGAGCGGUGGAAUGCGCAGAUAUCAGGAGGAACACCAGUGGCGAAGGCGGUUCUCUGGGCCCUUCCUGACGCUGAGGAGCGAAAGCGUGGGGAGCGAACAGGCUUAGAUACCCUGGUAGUCCACGCUGUAAACGGUGGGUACUAGGUGUGGGGUCCAUUCCACGGGUUCCGUGCCGUAGCUAACGCUUUAAGUACCCCGCCUGGGGAGUACGGCCGCAAGGCUAAAACUCAAAGGAAUUGACGGGGCCCCGCACAAGCGGCGGAGCAUGCGGAUUAAUUCGAUGCAACGCGUAGAACCUUACCUGGGUUUGACAUGGAUCGGGAGUGCUCAGAGAUGGGUGUGCCUCUUUUGGGGUCGGUUCACAGGUGGUGCAUGGCUGUCGUCAGCUCGUGUCGUGAGAUGUUGGGUUAAGUCCCGCAACGAGCGCAACCCUUGUUCACUGUUGCCAGCACGUUAUGGUGGGGACUCAGUGGAGACCGCCGGGGUCAACUCGGAGGAAGGUGGGGAUGACGUCAAGUCAUCAUGCCCCUUAUGUCCAGGGCUUCACGCAUGCUACAAUGGCUGGUACAGAGAGUGGCGAGCCUGUGAGGGUGAGCGAAUCUCGGAAAGCCGGUCUCAGUUCGGAUUGGGGUCUGCAACUCGACCUCAUGAAGUCGGAGUCGCUAGUAAUCGCAGAUCAGCAACGCUGCGGUGAAUACGUUCCCGGG
rnacentral:rRNA from 1 species